CCCAAGGGUUCGGCUGUCCGCCGAUUAAAGUGGCACGCGAGCUGGGUUUAGAACGUCGUAAGACAGUUCGGUCCCUAUCUGGUAUGGGCGCAGGAUAUUUGAGAGAUGCUGCCCCUAGUAUGAGAAGACCGGGGUGGACGUACCUCUAGUGUGCCAGUUGUCACGCCAGUGGCACCGCUGGGUAGCUAUGUACGGAGUGGAGAAACGCUGAAUGCAUCUAAGCGUGAAGCCCACCUCAAGAUAAGAUAUCCCACAACGUUAAGUUGGUAAGGCUCCUUCGAGAUAAGAAGGUUGAUAGGCCAGAUGUGUACACCGUGUGAGCGGUUCAGCUAACUGGUACUAAUAAGCCGAGGGCUUGAUAAC
rnacentral:rRNA from 1 species